ACUGGUGUCAGCCGCCGCGGUAAUACCAGCUCCCCGAGUGGUGGGGAUGAUUAUUGGGCCUGAAGCGUCCGUAGCCGGCUCGAUAAGUCUUCCGUUAAAUCCAACGAUCUAAUCGUUGGGCUCCGGGAGAUACUGUCGGGCUAGGGGACGGGAGAAGCCGACGGUAUUUCUAGGGUAGGGGUGAUAUCCUAUAAUCCUAGAAGGACCACCAGUGGCGAAGGCGGUCGGCUAGAACGCGCCCGACGGUGAGGGACGAAAGCUGGGGGAGCGAACCGGAUUAGAUACCCUGGUAGUCCCAGCUGUAAACGAUGCAGGCUGGGUGUUGGAUUGGCUACGAGCCAAUCCGGUGCCGCAGGGAAGCUCAUAA
rnacentral:rRNA from 1 species